rnacentral:sRNA from 1 species
GGCCCACCCUGUAAUCACAACGCCACAGUUAGGACAUCUACUCUGUGAGGAUUCGACGCGGGGAAAUAAACGCAACAGCUCGCCCACUAGCUCUCUUAGCGCCGUCCUAGCUGAUAGGAUCGAUUUGACACGCGAGGGCAGGGACCUAGCCGCAGACUGCCAGACUGUGCUGGCUGUGCGUGUAUACUUUGGUGCGUCUGUUUGUCUGGGAGAGCUGCUGUUUGAUAUUCGGCGGAGUCGCGGUGGGUUAAGAUGGUAUGUAGUGAUUUAUCACACGUGGGAUAGGCGCAUGCAUGAGCAAACAAGCAAAUUUAUCAUGGAAGAAACACCUUUCUAGCCAGGUCAAGGGGUGGAGGAAGUAUAUGGAUUUCAUUCACAACAUGCUGAUACACUAGAUAUGAUAUCAGAUACGGGGCAAGGAAAGAAAAGAAAAGAAACCGAGACGAGC